rfam:Thielaviopsis punctulata NODE_1703, whole genome shotgun sequence.
GGGGCGGUGGCGCAGUUGGGAGCGCGUUAGACUGAAGCUACAAACUUCGGCCAUCUUGUCAAAGAGUUAUCUAAAGGUCACCGGUUCGAUCCCGGUUCACCCCA